rnacentral:rRNA from 1 species
UACGGGGGGAGCAAGCGUUGUUCGGAUUUACUGGGCGUAAAGGGCGCGUAGGCGGCCUUCUAAGUCAGACGUGAAAUCCCCCGGCUUAACCUGGGAACUGCGUCUGAUACUGGGAGGCUUGAGUAUGGGAGAGGGAUGUAGAAUUCCAGGUGUAGCGGUGAAAUGCGUAGAUAUCUGGAGGAAUACCGGUGGCGAAGGCGGCAUCCUGGACCAUUACUGACGCUGAGGCGCGAAAGCUAGGGGAGCAAACGGG